rnacentral:lncRNA from 1 species
CACACUCGACUCCAUUCCCAGGAUUUGCGUGGUUUCCAGGAGCAUUCCCUCCACAUCCAAGCUCCAGCAAACCCGGGAGCGCUCCGCCAAAGCAUGGAUCGCCCUCCGCUCAAGCACCGCCACCUUUUCACGGAACCAAGAAGCAUCAUCACCAAUAAAAGCUCUGCAUUUAGAACUAUGGACAUCAAAGAAAAGCAAAGUUUUGGAGUUACCUUGUGACCGUUCCUCAAUUCCAGGCACUGAUUCUUUCUUCCUUCCACUUAGCGAAUCUACAAAUAAAUCCUCCUCUUUUUGUCCAAAUGUAAAAAAAACGGCGAUGCUGCUA